rnacentral:rRNA from 1 species
GAUGAACGCUAGCGGCAGGCUUAAUACAUGCAAGUCGAGGGGCAGCAUGAUUGUAGCAAUACAAUUGAUGGCGACCGGCAAACGGGUGCGGAACACGUACACAACCUCCCAAUAAGUGGGGAAUAGCCCAGAGAAAUUUGGAUUAAUACCCCGUAACAUAACGAUGUGGCAUCACAUUGUUAUUAUAGAUUUUUCGCUUAUUGAUGGGUGUGCGGCUGAUUAGAUAGUUGGCGGGGUAACGGCCCACCAAGUCUACGAUCAGUAGCUGAUGUGAGAGCAUGAUCAGCCACACGGGCACUGACACACGGGCCCGACUCCUACGGGAGGCAGCAGUAAGGAAUAUUGGACAAUGGACGCAAGUCUGAUCCAGCCAUGCCGCGUGAAGGAUUAAGGUCCUCUGGAUUGUAAACUUCUUUUAUAAGGGACGAAAAAAGGCUUUUCUAAGUCGUCUGACGGUACCUUAUGAAUAAGCACCGGCUAACUCCGUGCCAGCCGCCGCGGUAA